GCCUAGAGUCAACUCUUGCGACAACACACCGGAUCCCAUCAGAACUCCGCAGUUAAGCGCACUUGAGCUAGAGUAAUACUGGGAUGGGUGACCUCUCUGGAAGUCCAAGUGUUGCACCCU
rnacentral:rRNA from 1 species